GAGUUUGAUCCUGGUUCAGAUUGAACGCUAGCGGGAUGCCUUACACAUGCAAGUCGAACGGCAGCACGGACUUCGGUCUGGUGGCGAGUGGCGAACGGGUGAGUAAUGUAUCGGAACGUGCCCAGUAGCGGGGGAUAACUACGCGAAAGCGUAGCUAAUACCGCAUACGCCCUACGGGGGAAAGCAGGGGAUCGUAAGACCUUGCACUAUUGGAGCGGCCGAUAUCGGAUUAGCUAGUUGGUGGGGUAACGGCUCACCAAGGCGACGAUCCGUAGCUGGUUUGAGAGGACGACCAGCCACACUGGGACUGAGACACGGCCCAGACUCCUACGGGAGGCAGCAGUGGGGAAUUUUGGACAAUGGGGGAAACCCUGAUCCAGCCAUCCCGCGUGUGCGAUGAAGGCCUUCGGGUUGUAAAGCACUUUUGGCAGGAAAGAAACGUCAUGGGUUAAUACCCCGUGAAACUGACGGUACCUGCAGAAUAAGCACCGGCUAACUACGUGCCAGCAGCCGCGGUAAUACGUAGGGUGCAAGCGUUAAUCGGAAUUACUGGGCGUAAAGCGUGCGCAGGCGGUUCGGAAAGAAAGAUGUGAAAUCCCAGAGCUUAACUUUGGAACUGCAUUUUUAACUACCGGGCUAGAGUGUGUCAGAGGGAGGUGGAAUUCCGCGUGUAGCAGUGAAAUGCGUAGAUAUGCGGAGGAACACCGAUGGCGAAGCAGCCUCCUGGGAUAACACUGACGCUCAUGCACGAAAGCGUGGGGAGCAAACAGGAUUAGAUAC
rnacentral:rRNA from 1 species